GUCCAUUGUUUUCUAAAAAUUAUUAACACAUCAGUGAGACACACCACUGCACUGGGUGGCAUGUUCCUUCACCCAGAAGGCAAUGGCUUUUUUUUUUUCAGAAAGAGUUUCAAAGACAAACAACGCUGAUAAAAUUUGAACUGUCAGGAAAGCAGUACAUCAGAUGCCACUGUGCAUGCGCAGGAACUAUGUUCCGUUUAGAGCUAAGCUAACUUGUUGUGCUAAAUAUCACAACCUCUUGACUUUAUGCUACACGAUAAAUUGUAAAUAACUUAACCACAAAGUCAAGAGGUUGAUAUGUGGCACAAUAAGCCAGCAAAGUUUUGUAACAGAACCACCUUCUUGAAAAAGAAUGAGUGCAACGAUGUGGCUCAUGGUUAGUUUUACUCUGCACAUAAGAUUUGUUGACAGUAAGAUCCUUUUAAGGGAUAAACCAUCCCUUCCCUUUAAAAUCUGUAAAUACUGUAGCAGGUCAGUUAAAAAAAAACCACGUCAUUACGUAACUGUAUACGCCUCCAGUUUCCUAGCAACACUAAUGCCAACUUCAAGCACAACAACAAUGGAGGACUACAUCGCAGCUUUACAGGUGUUGCUCCUGGCUUUGCAAGCCUACUUCAGCAUGUAAACAUGACUUGUCCAAUGCAUUUGUGCUGCUCAUGGUGACUGCUAUGGACAACGAUUACGAUCAAGAAGAACGGGUCAUGUCUUGUUGGAAGGUGAACCUUCGGCCCAGUCUGAGGUCCUGAGUGCUCUGGACCAGGUUUUCAUUAAGGAUAUCUCCGGUCCCUGCCACUGAAAAACACCCCCACAGCAUGAUGCUGCCACCAUGAUGCUUCACCAUUGGGAUGGUAAUGGGCAGAUCCACAUUGAAAAAGACAUCUGGCUGCGCGAGGAGGUGUGUAGAGGAAUCCACUCCACAACAAAGGACUCACUCUUUGUAGAAGAGUUGGCUGUCGCCAUCUGGGGUACAGGAGAGUUGAGGGGAAGAAGAGUGUUUGGGAAGGAAUACCCAACAAAAAAUACCAAAGCAAAGCCUCCCUUAACACCAUACAAGCUUGGAACCCUCAAAGUGCUUCAAUGAUGGUUGAAGGGACACAACAUGGCGAAGACAAAGGGAGCUGGUGGGAUACUUAACUCACCCUUCGUGUCAAAUUAAGGCUAAUGUCAAUUAAGUGUGUAAUAAAUUAAUUUUCUACUUCAAAUCA